rnacentral:rRNA from 1 species
CUCAACCUGGGAAUGGCAUUUUGAACUGGCAGGCUCGAGUUUUGAAGAGGGUGGUAGAAUUUCCUGUGUAGCGGUGAAAUGCGUAGAUAUAGGAAGGAAUACCAGUGGCGAAGGCGGCCACCUGGUCAAAAACUGACGCUGAGGUACGAAAGCGUGGGGAGCAAACAGGAUUAGAUACCCUGGUAGUCCACGCCGUAAACGAUGUCAACUAGUUGUUCGUUUCAUAAACGAAGUGAGUAACGCAGCUAACGCACUAAGUUGACCGCCUGGGGAGUACGGCCGCAAGGUUAAAACUCAAAUGAAUUGACGGGGGCCCGCACAAGCGGUGGAGCAUGUGGUUUAAUUCGAUGCAACGCGAAGAACCUUACCAUCCCUUGACAUCCAGUGAAUCCUUCAGAGAUGAGGGAGUGCCUUCGGGAACAC